UUUUAUCCUUUGUUAACCCCAUUUGAGCCUGUACCCAUUGUUUGUUUAACCAUGUAAAUGUAACACGCGGUCCAAACCCUUCCUUACCCUGUUCGGAGUUAAGGUGAUAUUAUUAAGCUGUGUUAAAAUUCUAAGUUUGGGGUAAAUCCCAUAAGUAUCGAAAACCAAGGUGAGUGCAAGAAAAAAUAGAAUAAUAAAAAACGAUCAUCGAAAAAAAAAGAGAAAACGAGAUGUACUCGAUGGUUUGAAAGAAGCACUCACCGAAGGAAGAACACUCGGUUGAGAAGGAAAAAAAAGAAUAUCAAAGAAAAAAAACUGAGCGAUAGAAAAAAGAAAAGAAGGAAAAUGAACAAACACAGUGAAAAGAAUAUUGACAUUGAC
rnacentral:lncRNA from 1 species